rnacentral:lncRNA from 1 species
UCCAUAUUGCAGGAAAGCGGGCUAGGGUGUGACGCUGCUUUCUGGUUCAGAAUGUCAUACCCAGGCUACCCCCCGACAGGCUACCCACCUUUCCCUGGAUAUCCUCCUGCAGGUCAGGAGUCCUCUUUCCCCACUUCGGGUCAGUAUCCGUACCCUAGUGGCUUUCCACCAAUGGGAGGAGGUGCUUACCCACCAGCUCCAAGUGGUGGCUACCCAGGAGCUGGAGGCUACCCCUCACCUGGAGGUUAUCCAGCCCCUGGGGGCUAUCCUGGAACCCUAAAUCCAGGGGGUCCUCCAUCCUAUCCUGGAGGUCAAGGCUUUGGGGCCCCACCUGGUGGGGCAGGCUUUUCUGGCUAUCCACAGCCACCUGCACAGUCUUACGGCGGUGGACCAGCCCAGGUUCCAGUCCCAGGUGGCUUUCCUGGAGGGCAGAUGCCGUCUCAGUACCCCGGAGGACAGUCUCCCUACCCUGGCCAGAUUGACACAGAGUCCUUCUCUUCCUAUCCUGCUUUCUCCCCUGUUUCUUUGGAUUAUAGCAGUGAUCCUGCUGCGAUGACUCAGGGCACCCAAGGAACAAUCCGCCCAGCCUCCAACUUCGAUGCUAUGAGAGAUGCAGAGAUUCUCCGCAAAGCAAUGAAGGGGUUUGGGACUGAUGAGCAAGCGAUUGUGGAUGUCGUGUCUAACCGUUCCAAUGACCAGAGGCAACAAAUUAAAGCAGCUUUUAAGACCAUGUAUGGCAAG